GCUCUAUUUAAAUACGCAGCCUGUGAUCCAGGUUCUGAACCAAGGGUCUGAAUGAAGAUGUUCAACUCAAUCAUAUUGUUGCUUAUGUAGAUGGCAGAACUCACGGCCUUGUGGUGGAGACACGGGAUCUCGAUGAGUCAGCAUUGUGGCAUCUUCGUUGAUACCAUGCUGCGUCUCUGGCAGAGUAUGUGGUGACGACGAUGACAUAUGACAGAACACUUGCUCUCCACCGCCACUUCGGCGUUGAUGCCCUCAUGACAAAGACAUUGAGACAAUUUUCUUGUCUGAAGAAAUUGAUUGUCUUGAUGAGUCUCUCAACUACAAUUUGCAUGACUAACAGUACCCUUUCACUUAACUAUUAUAUUGCAUACCGAGAGCUUUCCCUACAGCACAGUCACAAAUGACUGGAUGAGCAAGUGGCUGGAUCCUUCAGGAUGAGACAAGAAGGGUCCAAGUUUGCUCAUCCUGCAGUCUCCAAGUGCCAAGAGGCCCUCCCUCAUAAGGAAUAUAUACAGAGUCAUCGCAUGGCAAGGACUUUGACGCAGGCACCUACUACUUCAUCACAACAGUUAUGUUCUGUGAGGUAAUGAAAUGUGCUAUUGGAUGUUUCUGUGUGUUAUAAGUGUACAUUUUGCAGCCAAAUCACCAUCUCUGUGUGCAUUAUCUUACAGGUCCCAGUAUGGAUUCUGUAGAAGGGGUUAAGUUGGGCAAAGCACAUAUUGCAACCCCAUAACUUUUGAACAUUUUAUUUCACUAUUUUGUUGCAUCUGCAUGUUCAUUUGAGAGGCAGAAUCUAAGGGGUUAAGUGGCCAUAACGGAGCUAGCCAAAGUUCCCUGCCUCAACAGAUGUACAUUGUGUUCAACUGUAAUCAUCCUUAGUGUGGUUAGGUAGGUUUACCCUAAAAAGUAUCGUUCCUGUAUUGUAUCGAAGCCCAUGUACCCGAUAUAUGUAUCGAUGUAACACCA